GCAAACUUGGUCAUUUAGAGGAAGUAAAAGUCGUAACAAGGUUUCCGUAGGUGAACCUGCGGAAGGAUCAUUAACAAAAUUGUUAUCCAAUAUUCACCUUGUGUGCAGUUUUGCAUAAAAAAUUAAUAUCUUUUGGAAAGAUUUAUUUUACUAUUUAUAGUGAUAAUGGUAAUCUUUCCAAAGAGGUUAUUAUAAUCAAUCUAUUUUUUCUUUUCUUUAUUAUGUCUAAAAUUAUAUAUCUAAAAUAAAAAAAUAACUUUCAACAACGGAUCUCUUGGCUCUCGCAUCGAUGAAGAACGCAGC
rnacentral:misc_RNA from 1 species